UGAGUGUCCUGGAAGUCAGACUAGAUGACCCACCGGGGACCUUGAUGGCUUCUCUCUCCUGCCCUCCUCCUGUCUGAGCAUGCCUAUUCGGUGCUGCUCUCAACGUAUACAACUUUGUGGCUACAAAGAGAGAAAUGAGGCCCAGCUGAACUAAGAGACAGGCUUCUGGGAAACCUCUCACAUUAUGAGGGAAAUGUAACUAAGAAGUGCAACUCACCAGAAAGUUCUUCCGUACAAAGAGCAAGACCGUAACUGCCCAUUGGAACUGCCGAGCAUCUGGGCUGUAGUAAUGAGUACCUCAGAUUCCCUCAGGCAAAGCAGUCGCCAUGGCAUGUAGGAUCUGGAGCAACACUGGUGUGUGGUCAGAACACAACACCAGAGCAACAGCUACAAGCAUGUGGUAAAGACCUUCUUGAGGACUUGGGACAAUGGCACACAGGACUACUCCACAGUGAGACAGUUGGAGACACUCAAGGUUUCGGAACAAAAGCUGGAAGUCCCUGCAUUUGCACAAAUCUUGGCCUAGUAGAGCAGCCCAAAGCCUCAGGAAAGAAACACAAGGAUGGACCAGUACACCUGUCCCCCUUUCAGACCAGGCUUUGCUGACAGCGGCUGGGAACGGCUGCCAUUUUCUCCAAGCAGAGAUAGUCUUGAGCCUCAACACCAGAAGCUAAAUGGCAGGCUCCUCGGUUGGAUUAUGUCUUUGGUGUCCUCCAAACGCCAUUCAGAAGUUGGGGAUUUGUUGAGAGAAUGAGCCGAUGGUUCACGAGACACGGGUGCUUCCUCAGAGUGCUUCAGCGGCUGGAUUGGACAACUGUGCCGUUCUCUGUCCUGGCCAUACUCUGUCCUGGUACCUGCCAUCUUUCCCACCUAACAUCCAUUCCCCCUUUUUUUUACAUUUCUAUUUUUUUCUGCUCAGUGCUUCUGAUCUGGCUUUGAGGGAUGAUUCUCUCCUGUUGGGUGUAAUCACGGUGGUUCUUUUAAACAAAGCUAAAUUAUGCUAGAAACACAA